rnacentral:rRNA from 1 species
CCUACCUGGUUGAUCCUGCCAGUAGUCAUAUGCUUGUCUCAAAGAUUAAGCCAUGCAUGUCUAAGUCCAAGCUGUGUCUUGACACGGCGAGACCGCGGACGGCUCAUUAAAUCAGUCGUGGUCCAAAUGGGCCAGGAAAGAGUUACUUGGAUAACUGUGGUAAUUCCAGAGCUAAUACAUGCAACUAGACCUUGAUGCCAGGGCAGCUUCGGCUGCUUAGUGGGUGCGUGCGUGGGAGCUUGUCUCCUGCGCCGUGCUCGGGCAGAAGGGUGCUUUUAUUAGACCAAACCGCUGGGGGAGUCUUGUCCUCGCGUAACGCUCUCGUUUCGGCGAGUGCGGCGGGGGCACAGCACUCCCGUAUCCCACGAUGUGGUGACUCUGGAUAACCAUCAUGCCGAGCGCACGUACUGGCUUCGUGCCAGACGGCGCCGCCACUUUCGAGUGUCUGCCCUAUCAGCUUCCAAUCGUUCGCUACACGCGACCGGUGGCUUUGACGGGUAACGGAGAAUCAGGGUUUGAUUCCGGAGAGGCAGCCUGAGAGACGGCUACCACGUCCAAGGACGGCAGCAGGCACGCAAAUUACCCAAUCCCAGCACCUGGGGGAGGUAGUGACGAAAUCUAACGAUGCGGGCGCCCCUCGUGGGCCCCGCAAUCGGAAUGAGCUUGUGGUAAAGAUCCAGCUGAGAACCUACUGAAGGGCAAGUCUGGUGCCAGCAGCCGCGGUAAUUCCAGCUUCAGUAGCGUAUAUUAAAGUUGCUGCGGUUAAAAGGCUCGCAGUUGAAUGUCAGUGCCAGGCGUUGGUCGGGUGGACGUUGGAGCGAGGGCACCCACGGCCUAGACUUGUGGUGUGAGCGCGGUCGCCUUCGCGGGUGUCGUGUCUCCGCGCUUGCGCGGUCGGCCUUACGUUUCCGUCCGUGACAAGCCCCCGCGCUUGUGUACACAUCGGGAUCGGUAUGGUCCUGUCUCCCCUGUUCGUGCGUUUCCCCUCGCGGGUUUCCACGUCAGGGAGCUGGACUUCGGUCCCAUGGCACCUCGAGCAAAUCAGAGUGCUCAAGGCAGUCGCAAGGGGCUUCCUCACGGGAGCCCCGGUAUUAUGGCAGACUUGGUAAAGCAUGGAAUGUCGAAAGACGAUGACGGGCGCAGGCCAGGGGAUGGCUCUCCUUGUGAUCAGGUGGCGGCUUUAGCCUGCCCCGUCGUAAUGAUUUAAAAGGGCUUGUCGAGGGCACUGGUAUUGCGGAGCGAGAAGGUGAAAUUCUGUGACCUCCGCAAGACCUCCUGAAGCGAAAGCGUCUGCCAAGGAUGCUUUCAUUAAUCAUGAACGAAAGUUAGAGGAUCGAAGGCGAUCAGAUACCGCCCUAGUUCUAACCCUAAACGAUACCAACCAUCAAUCCGCGUGAGCACCCUUUCGCACGGGCUCGGCGGGCAGCUCCUUCCACGGGAAACCAGAGUCUCUGGGUUCCGGGGGGAGUCUGGUUGCAAAGCUGAAACUUAAAGGAAUUGACGGAAAGGCACCACCAGGCGUGGAGCCUGCGGCUUAAUUUGACUCAACACGGGACAUCUCACCAGGCCAGCACUCUAGCAUGAUUGACAGAUUGAGAGCUCUUUCUCGAUUUAGUGGAUGGUGGUGCAUGGCCGUUCUUAGUUGGUGGAGUGAUCUGUCUGGUUAAUUCCGAUAACGAACGAGACUCUCCCCUGCUAACUAGUCGGUUGGAUCUUUUCCCAGUGGGUUUGUGUUGAGGCCUGGAUGGUUGCUGCCGGACGGGUUCGUUCGCGGCGUGUGCUGGGGUGCGUGCCUCUCCUUCAUUGGGGUGGGUACUGCCUCUCGCACCCGUGGGCGUCCCACCCGGCGUGCGCCUCCUGGUCUUCCUACCCCAAGUCCGCCGCUGAUUACAUAUCUUCUUAGAGGGAUCCACGGCUCUGAAGCCGUCAGAGACUGAGAGCAAUAACAGGUUCUGUGAUGCCCUUAGAUGCUCUGGGCCGCACGCGCGCUACAAUGCCGGGCUCAGCAGGUGUUUUCCCUAUCCCGAGAGGGACGGGGUAACCCUCUGAAAGCUCCUGCUUGUCUAUGAUGCGUUGGCGCUCCUCACGGGGUAGGGCGCUGUCUCUCUGAGCGGUGUCCGUGCCUUCGCCUAGGCGUGCUUGGGCCUGGGGCUUGCAAUUGUUCCCCACAAACGAGGAAUGCCUAGUAGCGGUGGGUCACUGAGCCCACCGUGACUUAGUCCCUGCCCUUUGUACACACCGCCCGUCGCUACUACCGAUUGGGUGUACCAGUGAGAGCCUUGGACUGGCGGUCAGCUUCUCUCACGGGAAGCAUGACAUGACUGAAAGAGGUACGAACUGGUGCACUUAGAGGAAGUAAAAGUCGUAACAAGGUUUCCGUGGGUGAACUGCGGAAGGAUCAUUA